GGGUUCAUGGCCUAAUGGUAAGGCGUCAGAUUUCGGUUCCAUCUAUGAUUUUCCGCUCUGAAGAUUGUAGGCUCGAUCCCUGUUGAGCUCG